AUCCUUUCACUAAAGAUAUAAAGCCACUUUUUAUUGACAGAUGCCUCAUGUCAAUGUUCUGGAUUUUGAUGAAAGGAAAUUCCAUAUAGGCUACUGGACAGGACUUUGCUUUGGCAUCUUCUGUUUGGGUGUCUCAGGUCAGGACUUUGCUUUGGCAUCUUCUGUUUGGGUGUCUCAGGUCAGGACUUUGCUUUGGCAUCUUCUGUUUGGGUGUCUCAGGUCAGGUCUGAGCCAUAAUCAGAAUGUGUCGCUGUCUCUAUUUCCAGCCCUGCCAUUUCUACAUGUCCUGAUCUAGUGUUUCACCCCUGACCUCCUCACACCAUCUCACUGUCCAUGUCUGCUUUUAGCUCCCACCUCUACUUCACUGUGUUAUAAUGGAUCUUAUGCUUGUUAUGUCACCUCUGUAAAACAGUUAUCAAACAUACUGACCUUUCUGACUCUAUCCCAUAGCCCUACUUCACUGUGUUAUAAUGGACCUUAUGCUUGUUAUGUCACCUCUGUAACCAGUUAACAAACAUAAUGACCUUUCUGACUCUAUCCCAUAGCCCUACUUCACUGUGUUAUAAUGGACCUUAUGCUUGUUAUGUCACCUCUGUAACCAGUUA